rnacentral:tRNA from 1 species
GCGCCCAUAGCUCAAUUGGAUAGAGCGCUUGGCUUCGGACCAAGAGGUUGUGGGUUCAACU